CCUGAACGCUGGCGGCGUGGCUAAGACAUGCAAGUCGCACGGGCGCAGCAAUGCGUCAGUGGCGAACGGGUGAGUAAAGUAUCGCUAACGUGCCCCGGACACAGGGAUAGCCGGCCGAAAGGUCGGGUAAUACCUGGAGUCACCACCUGCCCGCAUGGGCGGGUGUUGAAAGGCGUAAGCCGGUUCGGGAGCGGGCGAUAUCGUAUCAGCUAGUUGGUGGGGUAACGGCCCACCAAGGCGACGACGCGUAGCCGGACUGAGAGGUUGGCCGGCCACAUUGGGACUGAGACACUGCCCAGACUCCGUACGGGGGCUGCAGUAACGAAUCUUCCGCAAUGCACGCAAGUGUGACGGAGCGACGCCGCGUGUGGGACGAAGUUCUUCGGAAUGUAAACCCACUGUCGAGGGGUUAGAAAUUCUGAUCAACCCCAGAGGAGGCACGGCUAACUCUGUGCCAGCAGCCG
rnacentral:rRNA from 1 species